rnacentral:rRNA from 1 species
AGAGAGAGACAUGCGCGCAUAUCAAUAAGCGGAGGAAAAGAAACUAACAAGGAUUCCCUUAGUAACGGCGAGUGAAGCGGGAAGAGCUCAAAUUUGAAAUCUUCAAGGUUCUACCUUGACGAAUUGUAGUUUAAAGAAGUGUUUUCUGCUGAAGUUUUGGUAAAAGUUCUUUGGAAUAGGACAUCAUAGAGGGUGAGAAUCCCGUAUUUGACCAUUAUUUUCAGCUUUGUGAUACACUUUCAAAGAGUCGGAUUGUUUGGGAAUGCAGUCCAAAAUGGGUGGUAAAUUUCAUCUAAAGCUAAAUAUUGGCGAGUGACCGAUAGCGAACAGGUACCGUGAGGGAAAGACGAAAAGAACUUUGAAAAGAGAGUUAAACAGUACGUGAAAUUGUCAAAAGGGAAGCGUUUGACACCAGUGUUGUUUUCUCGAAAAUCAAUUAAAAAUGGCUCGAUUUUGUAUUGCUGAGACCUUAAAAGCUCACUGUACAUUUUUCGUGUCUUUUUUAAUGCACUUUUCGUUUAACAAGUCAACAUCAGUUUCUUUUGUUGUAAAAGGGUCAUUGGAAGGUGGCUUUCUUUUCGGAGAAGGUGUUUAUAGCCUUUGGCCUCUGCAAUCGGAAGAGACUGAGGUCUGCAGCGUAGACUCUUCGGGGUUAGAUACAUUUGUGCUAAGUUAUAGCUUUUUAUAGACAACUUGUUGACUAUAAUUAGUCUUGUAGCUUACUCGCUUACGCUAUUUUACCUACGCUUAGGAUGUUGAAGUCAUCGUAUCGCGC